rnacentral:lncRNA from 1 species
CAACUACGUGAAGCAGCAAUCUCUGAAGCUGGACUCUGUUGGUCCCAUAAAACAAGGCUCACUCCAUGUGGAUGUGCCCUCACCUGGCUUUGAGGAGGUCAAGAUCGCGGAGACCAUCGAAUCGGAGCUCCACAAGUUGAGGGGAGGCAACGGCCUCACUCACUCUUUCAACAGAAUCAAGAUCGAAGGUCCAUGAGGGCGCGGUGAUUGAGAAGCGUGCGCCGGAGACACAGCGGUCCACGGUCCACAGAGGUGAUCUUGGUAUCUGAACCCCAGUAGCCUAUGGUGGUGGGGUGGUAGUAGGGCCUCUUGCUUGCAAUCACUGGCUGCAGGCUUGAUUAGGACGAGUAGAGAACGCGAUUCUAAUAACCGU